rnacentral:rRNA from 1 species
GACGAACGCUGGCGGCGUGCUUAACACAUGCAAGUCGAACGGAAAGGCCCUGCUCUUGUGGGGUGCUCGUGUGGCGCACGGGUGAGUAUCACGUGUGUAACCUGUCCUUGACUUUGGGAUAACUCCUGGAAACUGGGGCUCAUAUCCGAUAGGAGCUCUUGCUGCAUGGUGGGGGUUGGUAAGUUGCGGCGGUUGGGGAUGGACUCGCGGCUUCUCAGCUUGUUGGUGGGGUAGUGGCUUACCAAGGCUUUGACGGGUAGCCGGCCUGGGAGGGUGACCGGCCACAUUGGGACUGAGAUACGGCCCAGACUGCUACGUGAGGCAGCGGUGGAGAAUAUUGCGCAGUGGGCGGAAGCCUGAUGCAGCAACGCCGCGUGCGGAAUGACGGCCUUCUGGUUAUAAACCGCUUUCGCCUGUGACGAAGCGUGAGUGACGGUAAUUAGUAAAGAAGCACCGGCUAACUACGUG